ACAGCUGUUCACUGAAAUUCACUUUUGCCUCUUAUUGCAUUGCUUUAACUAGAUUCCCAACUCAUAACAUAAAAGGAAUCAAGAGCUUUUUGGCAGACAAACCACACAAACCUCUCCCUCACUUUUUGUGUCUAUAAAUAGGAAUAAUACCUGUUUAUGUUACAGUAGUGUUGUGGGCAUUAUGGCUUAAAAACCUUAAAGAUCAAAGAAGUCUGAUUACUAACAGAUGUCUAUCUGACCCUGUAGAUUGGCAGCUCAAAGCUUCUAAGUGUUCAGAGUUUUGGGAUCCUGUCAAAGUUUCUAUUGCUGUGUGUACACAGAAGGGAAAUCCUGCAAGAGAAAAUAGUCAGGAUAAGUGCUAUUGUGAAGUGCGUAUGAAAAGAAAGUUGUAGCUAGUCAUGCAACUGGGAGAAUGAGAGGAGAGAGCAAGGGGACUCAGAUGUGGGAAAGGAAAUGGCAUCUCCUGUCCCAAUAAAAGAAGAGAUUGGCGAUGUGUUUCUGUGGACCUAAGUGUCACUGGGACAUUUUUGUCCCUUCUUUACAGACCCUGUAAAGGUGUUCUUUCCCAAUUACUAAUCUGCUUUGUAAAGUCUGCUCUCAGAUUCAGUUAGCACUUUAUCUUGAGCUGGAAUGGUUCAAGAUAUCUCCAACUGAAAUGCAAAUUAGUCUUAGAUGUCUCUGUUCAAUUUACACUUCUUGGAAGAAGUGACACAGUUCUUGAAAAUAUCAUAAUGAUAUUUCUGUGACGUACGGGUUCUUUGUUGCAUACAUAGUACAGCUAAUCUGAAUCAUAGCAAUAUCCUUAUGGUCUGCCCGAAAGUGUGGUGUAUGCAAGUUGCACAGCACGUGAUAUUUGUCACUAAAUCUGAAUCCUGGACCUUUCAGGAAAGACACCUGCCAACAUGUAUUUCUCUAACAUGCAACCAGACUGAAGAGUUCAUGAGUGGAUAGUCACUGCUUUACAGGGAUUAAGCUAGCAUAAUUUAAAUUGUUUUUGCAAACCCUUUGAGCUGGUGUGGAGAUUAUUGACCUACCUAACCUGUGUUACUGUAAAAUAUUUCUACAGCACUGACAGAGAACUCUCACAUCACACAUGGUGGCAGGGGUGGGAAGUUAAAAUCUUCUAAUACAUGAAGAAACUUCUACAUGCAGUACAGACCUGCUGUAGUCCUUUCUUCUUACUUCCAAUCUUGUAUGUUAAAGUGGAGGCAGUUCCUUUGGCAGAGUGGCUGAAAAUACUUGUAUGAUGAGACUGUAGCCAUCCAAACUGAACUAUUCACACAGUCCCAAUAAGUAAAUAUAUUUGUUAGUAGUUUUCCAUUAGUAAGAUGUUCUGGUGCAGGAGUCUGUGUAUUUGGCUUUUUAUUCAAGCUGAUGAUGUUUAUUUCGGUAGAGUUGUAGUGUUUCCACCAUAUGCUCAAAUGUUAACAUGUUUAAUGCCAGCAGCAGAUUAUUUACAUUAAAGAACAUGGAGCCAAAUUAAACUCAGUUGCAACUUUAUUAACGGAAUUACAAUAUUACUAGCAAAAAACAGCUGUGAUAAACAGUUAAGCAUAUCUUGCUUUUUUUCUUCUCUAAUUUUUCUAAUGGGCUGGGGCAGGUCUAUCCUUGUUAGAAGUUGUUCUCUAGUCACUACUCUAAUUCCUUGUGCAGCAGUGUAGAGUGGGAAUGCCAAGAGGUAUUCUGCUUGAACCUGAAGCUCCUGAGAGGGAGGGAUAGGAAGGUGACUAUAUCCAGAAUUUUAU
ensembl:lncRNA